rnacentral:lncRNA from 1 species
GUUAGAGUGGAGGGGCGGCAGGGUAGACUUGUGGUUAGAGUGGAGGGGCGGCAGGGUAGCCUAGUGGUUAGAGUGGAGGGGUGGCAGGGUAGCCUAGUGGUUAGAGUGGAGGGGUGGCAGGGUAGCCUAGUGGUUAGAGUGGAGGGGUGGCAGGGUAGCCUAGUGGUUAGAGUGGAGGGGCGGCAGGGUAGCCUAGUGGUUAGAGCGUUGAACUAGUAACGGAAAGGUUGCAAGUUCGAAUCCCCGAGCUGACAAGGUACAAAUCUGUCGUUCUGCCCCUGAACAGGCAGUUAACUCACUGUUCCUAGGCCGUCAUUGAAAAUAAGAAUUUGUUCUUAACUGUCUGGUUAAAUAAAGGUAAAGAAAAUUCCUGCUGCUAUACCAAAAAAUGUAAGCACCCAUGACAAAGUCUCCCUCCCUCUUUGCCUCCCUCCCUCUUUCCCUCCCUCCCUCCCUCUUUCCCUCCCUCCCUCCCUCUUUCCCUCCCUCCCUCUUUCCCUCCCUCUCUCCUCCAGGUCCCUGAGAUCAUCAGUACGCUGCGUCAGGCCGGGAAGAGCUCGGCGCGCAACGAUGACCUCGCAGUGCCCAAACCCGCCGCCUCUUCCUCAGAAGACUGUACUCCGUCCGCGUCGUCGGCCUUCGGCGCGGCCACCAUGUUCGCCAAGAGGUUUGAGGUUCUGUUCUGUGGAAGAGUGACCGUCGCUCACAAGAAAGCCCCGCCCGCUUUGAUUGACGAGUGCAUCGAGAAAUUCAGCCAAUCCGUAGGGGCCGGGGGGCGAUCCUAAACCAGAUAGCGGCGGUGGAUUGGUGGACGGGUUGCGGAGAGGUCUGGCCUUACCAACGCUAACGCGAAAUGGAGGAACGGGGGAUGGAGAGGUCAGGGGAGGAGGAUACGGUGCCUCUAGUGGUGGGAGGCCGGUGGUGUUCAAACCAGACCCCAGUUUCCCCUGCCUCCGGGCCCUGGAUGAGAACGGACUGUCACCUGAACUACACACACACACCGCUGGGGUCCAGCCCACCAGUCUACAGGAGAACAGGACCAUGCUGUUCAUGGUAACUUACACACACACACACACACACACCGCUGGGGUCCAGCCCACCAGUCUACAGGAGAACAGGACCAUGCUGUUCAUGAUAACUAACACACACACACACACACGUACACACCCACACACACACCGCUGGGGUCCAGCCCACCAGUCUACAGGAGAACAGGACCAUGCUGUUCAUGGUGGGUCGGUCUCAGAUCUUCCUGGUCAGUCCAGACACUAAGAAGGUUGUUUAU